GCGAAAUUUGUCGCCGUGUGGACGGAGCACAUCUUUCCGCGAGUAAAAUUGCAAAAAGGGUUUUAGUUUGAAACGCUUUGAUUGCAUUUUUAUUUUUCGUUUUC
ensembl:ncRNA Y54G2A.60 ncRNA